rnacentral:rRNA from 1 species
GACGAACGCUGGCGGCGUGCUUAACACAUGCAAGUCGAACGAUGAAGCGGGUGCUUGCACUCGUGGAUUAGUGGCGAACGGGCGAGUAACACGUGAGUAACCUGUCCUUUUCUUUGGGAUAACGGCUGGAAACGGCUGCUAGUACUGGAUAUUCAGGCUGCAUCGCAUGGUGUGGUUUGGAAAGGUUUUUUCUGGGAUUGGGUGGGCUCGCGGCCUAUCAGCUUGUUGGUGGGGUGAUGGCUUACCAAGGCUUUGACGGGUAGCCGGCCUGAGAGGGUGGUCGGUCGCACUGGGACUGAGAUACGGCCCAGACUCCUACGGGAGGCAGCAGUGGGGAAUAUUGCACAAUGGACGAAAGUGUGAUGCAGCGACGCCGCGUGGAGGGUGUAGGCCUUCGGGUUGUGAACUCCUUUUUCUCGCGAAAAAGGCACAGUUUUGGCUGUGUUGAUGGUAGUGGGGGAAGAAGCGCCGGCUAACUACGUG